ACGUCACCACCUUCGCGUCUUUUCUGGAGAGCGCGGGAAGACACCGAGAUGAACCCAGCAGGCAAGCUGGCAGGAAGUCAGACUGCGGCCCUUGCCUGAGAGGAUGACACAGGCCAAAGGAGAGAAGGAAAACAACAAGGCAGCCAGAGCUAGGGUCUGUGCUCAGCUCUGGAAGAUGCAGCCAUGGGUGAAUCAACUCUCCUUGCUUCAAGUUUAUGCUUCAUUAGGAGAGAUAAGAAAGCCAAGGCCUGCAGCGUGUGUUAGUUCCAGGUCAGAGAUCAAACCCAAGCCAUAGUAGUGACCUGAGACACUGCCGUGACAAUGCUGGAUCCUUAACCAACUGUGCUUGGCCCAGGAUCGAACCUGCAUCCCAGCGCUCCAGAGACACCACCAAUUCUGUUGUGCCACAGUGGGAACGCUCUCUCUCUCUCUCUCUCUUUUUUUAAUUGGUGGGGGAAGAAAAGGAUACAGUGAGACAGCUCAGUCCAUAGCCCACUUCUGGUUCUUUCUGACUAUGACAUGAAGGAUUUUUCAAAUCUUUGCAUACCAGAAAUCGCUGAUUUUUCCUUUCAAAGAGGAUUGCCUCCCACCCUGUCCUUUUUCUUCCCUAAGUUCCAUCAUUAGUUUCCCAGGGCCUUGCUGGGGGAAGGUUCCCCCCUCUGAGAAUAUGGUAGGAAUGAAACUUGCUAGAAAAAUGCGAAGCAUUCCCAGCUUUGCCACCUCCACAUGGCAGCAGGCUGCAAUGCUAUCUUUGUGCCUUCAGAUAAAGAGAUCAAAGUUUCUUCAAGAGCUGAUUCCCCAGGCUGAUUUGCAUGGGGGUGGGGUGGGGUAGGGAGUGUGAGGAUAAGCAAGAUAGGAUGCAAGUGGAAAUUUCUAUUUCAAAGGUGAAGUCUCCAGCAUGGCCAGCAGGACUGGAUCUGCACUAGCAAGGAACCAGCCCUGUUCUCUGGCUGGGGGAUCAGACAUAAGGUUUAAGGCAGAGUCUGACCUCAGUCUAGAAUUCUGGGAUGUCUACACUGGAAGGUGCCUUAGGCCUAGCUAAGCCAACCCACUCAUUUUACAGAUGGGGAUAUUGAGGUCUCAGAAGUGGCAGACUAGACCUGGAGACGAGUGCUCUUGACUUUUUUCCUGAAAUAUAUUUGAUAUAUAAUAUUGUGUAAUUGUGUAAAUUUAGGGGAUAUAACAUGUUAAUUUGAUGCAUUUUUAUAUUGUAAUAUGAUUGCCAUUGUAGCAAUAAUUAGCACCUCUGUCAUGAUAACUAUCCUUUAUUUUUAGUGGUUGGACCAUUAAGUUCUAGUCUCUCAGUAAAAUUUUUUAAUUUUGUCUUUUUAGGGCCACACCCGUGGCAUAGGGAGGUUCCCAGGCUAGGGGUCCAAUCGGAGCUGUAGCUGCCGGUCAACACCACAGCCACAGCAAUGCCGGAUCCGAGCUGCAUCUGUGACCUGCACCACAGUUCACUGCAAUGCUGGCUCCUUAACCUAAUAAGCAAGGCCAGGGAUCGAACCUGUGUCCUCAUGGAUACUAGUCGGAUUCGUUACCACUGAGCCACGAAGGGAACUCCAUCUCAGUAAAUUUGAUGAUUAUUAUAUUGCUGUCUAUAUUCACUAUACUGUGCAUUAAAUCUCUAGGGCUUAUUUACUACUCGUUGCAACUUCUCUUGGCUUUAUGUCCAGUGUACUUUCCAUGACCUCUUGCUGUUUUCAUCCACUAGUGUGUGAGUAUAUGGGUAUAGAUUCAUCAAUAAAUAAAACUUGAGAGAUUAAUAAAAC
rnacentral:lncRNA from 1 species